rnacentral:rRNA from 1 species
UACGUAGGGGGCUAGCGUUGUCCGGAAUCAUUGGGCGUAAAGCGCGUGUAGGCGGCCCGGUAAGUCCGCUGUGAAAGUCCAGGGCUCAACCCUGGGAUGCCGGUGGAUACUGUCGGGCUCGAGUCCGGAAGAGGCGAGUGGAAUUCCGUGGUGUAGCGGUGAAAUGCGCAGAUAGUCAGGAGGAACACCAAUGGCGAAGGCAGCUCGCUGGGACGUGACUGACGCUGAGACGCGAAAGCGUGGGGAGCGAACA